GGGGUUGUAGUUUAUUUGGUUAAAAUUCGAGCCUUGCAAGCUUGGGAACUGAGUUCGAUUCUCAGUGACUCCACCA
rnacentral:tRNA from 1 species